AUGAACGCUGGCGGCGUGCCUAAUACAUGCAAGUCGAGCGAACAGAUAAGGAGCUUGCUCCUUUGACGUUAGCGGCGGACGGGUGAGUAACACGUGGGUAACCUACCUAUAAGACUGGAAUAACUCCGGGAAACCGGGGCUAAUGCCGGAUAACAUUUAGAACCGCAUGGUUCUAAAGUGAAAGAUGGUUUUGCUAUCACUUAUAGAUGGACCCGCGCCGUAUUAGCUAGUUGGUAAGGUAACGGCUUACCAAGGCAACGAUACGUAGCCGACCUGAGAGGGUGAUCAGCCACACUGGAACUGAGACACGGUCCAGACUCCUACGGGAGGCAGCAGUAGGGAAUCUUCCGCAAUGGGCGAAAGCCUGACGGAGCAACGCCGCGUGAGUGAUGAAGGUCUUCGGAUCGUAAAACUCUGUUAUUAGGGAAGAACAAAUGUGUAAGUAACUGUGCACGUCUUGACGGUACCUAAUCAGAAAGCCACGGCUAACUACGUG
rnacentral:rRNA from 1 species